rnacentral:rRNA from 1 species
CCUACGGGAGGCAGCAGUGGGGAAUAGUGGGCAAUGGAGGAAACUCUGACCCAGCAAUGCCGCGUGAAUGAAGAAGGUCUUCGGAUUGUAAAGUUCGUUAGUCAGGGAAGAAGGCAAUGACGGUACCGGAAGAAUAAGCUCCGGCUAACUACGGGCCAGCAGCCGCGGUAAUACGUAGGGAGCAAGCGUUGUUCGGAAUGACUGGGCGUAAAGGGGGCGGAGGUGGUGGUACAAGUUAGAAGUGAAAUACCCUGGGCUGAACUAGGGUGCUGCUUCGAAAACGGUAUGACUGGAGUGCAGUAGAGUUUAGUGGAAUUCCUAGUGUAGCGGUGGACUGCGUCGCUAUUAGGAGGAACACCAGCGGCGAAGGCGUCUCACUGGACUGCAACUGACGCUGAGGCACG